rnacentral:rRNA from 1 species
GUAGGGUGCGAGCGUUGUCCGGAAUUAUUGGGCGUAAAGGGCUCGUAGGCGGUCUGUUGCGUCGGGAGUGAAAGCCCCGGGCUUAACCUGGGAACAGCGUUUGAUACUGGAGAGCUUGAGUGUGGGAGAGGUUGGUGGAAUUCCCAGUGUAGAGGUGAAAUUCGUAGAUAUUGGGAAGAACACCGGUGGCGAAGGCGGCCAACUGGACCACAACUGACGCUGAGGCGCGAAAGCGUGGGGAGCAAACAGGAUUAGAUACCCUGGUAGUCCACGCCGUAAACGAUGUGUGCUUGACGUUGGCGGGUUUACCCGCCGGUGUCGCAGCUAACGCGAUAAGCACACCGCCUGGGGAGUACGGCCGCAAGGUUA